GACGAACGCUGGCGGCGUGCCUAAUACAUGCAAGUAGAACGCUGAAACUUGGUGCUUGCACCGAGCGGAUGAGUUGCGAACGGGUGAGUAACGCGUAGGUAACCUGCCUGGUAGCGGGGGAUAACUAUUGGAAACGAUAGCUAAUACCGCAUAAGAGUAGAUGUUGCAUGACAUUUGCUUAAAAGGUGCAAUUGCACCACUACCAGAUGGACCUGCGUUGUAUUAGCUAGUUGGUGGGGUAACGGCUCACCAAGGCGACGAUACAUAGCCGACCUGAGAGGGUGAUCGGCCAAACUGGGACUGAGACACGGCCCAGACUCCUACGGGAGGCAGCAGUAGGGAAUCUUCGGCAAUGGACGGAAGUCUGACCGAGCAACGCCGCGUGAGUGAAGAAGGUUUUCGGAUCGUAAAGCUCUGUUGUAAGAGAAGAACGAGUGUGAGAGUGGAAAGUUCACACUGUGACGGUAUCUUACCAGAAAGGGACGGCUAACUACGUG
rnacentral:rRNA from 1 species